rnacentral:rRNA from 1 species
UACGUAGGGACCGAGCGUUGUCCGGAAUCAUUGGGCGUAAAGAGCGUGUAGGCGGCUUGCUAAGUCUUGCGUGAAAUCUCGGGGCUCAACCCCGAGCGGUCGUGGGAAACUGGCAGGCUAGAGUGCGGGAGAGGAGAAUGGAAUUCCAGGUGUAGCGGUGAAAUGCGUAGAUAUCUGGAGGAACACCGGUGGCGAAGGCGGGUCUCUGGGCCGUAACUGACGCUGAGGAGCGAAAGCGUGGGGAGCGAACAGG